CGGCGGUCGGGGCGCGCAAUUGAGCCGCGGGUCUGUAUCCUCCUUCCGCACACGGACCCCGCCGACGCGCACGAGCUAGUGGAGGACCAAGAGCGGCAUGCUGGCGAGAUCCGGAUCGGACGGGGGGGGGGGUGAGAUUCGUAGGAGAGGAGGAGAAAUCUGUUGUUGUUUUUCUUUUUUGGGCGGUACAUGAUUUUUCUGCACUUGUCAAUUGAACGUGUUUUUUUAUGAAGUUUGCAACCAUGGACUAAUUUUGUCACGUUUCUGCCUUCAAAGCUA
rnacentral:lncRNA from 1 species